rnacentral:rRNA from 1 species
CAAGGAAUUUUGCGCAAUGGGCGAAAGCCUGACGCAGCAACGCCGCGUGGGUGAAGAAGGCCUUCGGGUCGUAAAGCCCUUUUGUUAGGGAAGAAGUUCUGACGGUACCUAAUGAAUAAGCCUCGGCUAACUACGUGCCAGCAGCCGCGGUAAUACGUAGGAGGCGAGCGUUAUCCGGAUUUAUUGGGCGUAAAGAGCGCGUAGGCGGCCUAUUAAGUCGGUUGUGAAAUCUCUCGGCUUAACUGAGAGGGGUCAACCGAAACUGGUGGGCUUGAGGACAGAAGAGGAAAGCGGAAUUCCCGGUGUAGUGGUGAAAUGCGUAGAUAUCGGGAGGAACACCAGUGGCGAAGGCGGCUUUCUGGGCUGUUCCUGACGCUGAGGCGCGAAAGCGUGGGUAGCAAACAGG